GGGUUGCUGGGGUUGUGUAACUGUGCCUAGAGGGCGGGGUUCCUGUACAUUCCUACUUCACCAGAUAACCUGCCCCCAACACCACUUCAGCUUCUGCCAGACAGAUGGAACUCUCCAGCAUGAAAAUCUGCGCAGCCAUUCCAACAAGCAGGGCUCUGCCUGAGGUUGUCCGAAGGAUGCCGAGGAAAAGGAUAUCAGGACUGGAAUGGCUCUUACAGCAAGAUCCAGGUUUUUCAUUAGUCAAUACAGUGAAGGCUGGCAUGAUCAUCAGCUUCCCAUCCAAUAAUAUCUACUCAUCAGUGUGCUGUUGUCAAUCAGAGAUUUUCAAGUAUGAGUUCUCCAACUCAAAGAAAAGUAGCUGGAUCCAGGAAGAAAGGCAUUUGGGGAAGAACAACGUUCUUUACAGUGCUCAUGAUGUGUCUCCAGAGAAAGUUACUUCAGCACUAAAAAAAACAAACAAACAAACAACAACAAUAAACAACUUUCCUCUACAGUAUCUUCCAGGGUCUAAACUAUUAGACAGGUUCCUAAGUUUAUCCAGAUCUCUCCUAUGUCUGAAUUCUUGGUCAUCUUCCUUGCCUCUGGCUCCACAGGUAAAGAAGAAAUAAUAAUAAAGGAACAAAAAUUAUAUGUUUCAGGCCGGGCGCGGUGGCUCACGCCUGUAAUCCCAGCACUUUGGGAGGCCGAGGCGGGUGGAUCAUGAGGUCAGGAGAUCGAGACCAUCCUGGCUAACAAGGUGAAACCCCGUCUCUACUAAAAAUACAAAAAAUUAGCCGGGCGCGGUGGCGGGCGCCUGUAGUCCCAGCUACUCGGGAGGCUGAGGCAGGAGAAUGGCGUGAACCCGGGAAGCGGAGCUUGCAGUGAGCCGAGAUUGCGCCACUGCAGUCCGCAGUCCGGCCUGGGCGACAGAGCGAGACUCCGUCUCAAAAAAAAAAAAAAAAAAAAUUAUAUGUUUCUGUCGGGCUGACUCAUUCCACUUUUGAAGCACCCAGUGGAUUAAUUAGUCUUAUUAUUGCAUUUACUGUCACCUACACAUUUGUUUGUGGGAAGGCACUCCUCUUGGCAUUUGCUUAGUUGGAAAAAGGAACACUAAGACUAUAGCCACUGGAUAAUGUUCUUGAAGUUCACGGCACUGUGGCAGCAUAAAGCUUGAACAGACCUAGUUUUUUUAUUGAUGGAGUGCAACUGAUGUAGCACCACUUUUCUCUGACACUGUAUAUUAGCUUUUAGUUAUGAACUACUUCCUUCCAGUGCAGCAGUUGUUGCCUACCAUUGGUACCAGUUUGGCACCAUUAUAAAGAAACAUUGUACCUCUUAUAGGAAGAAUUUGGAGAGUUUUGGUAUGGUAAUCAAGAUGUGUAUUGUAAUAAUUAACUGAAUUCUGUGAACACACUGUUUCUACCUUAAGUGAAAGAAAAAGAGAACAGCUGCAAUUAUUUAUCUUCACUCAUUUCUCAUAGAUAGCCAGGAUUUUUCAGUGUACAUUCUCUUGUCCUGAAAUUAUUUUCAGUUCUUGUUGAUUCUUAUAGAUUAUAAUGAGAAAGGCACGAGCAAGAAAUUUGAAAUAAAGAACACAAAAUGAGAUUGCCCUUUGGUUGUUAAAAUUGCAGAUUUAACAAAAUAGAUCAGCAAAAUAUGUGCAAAGUUAUCUUAACAGAUUAAUUCCUAUCCAGCAGGCUUUAACAAAAACUAAUAGAAGCUAUUACAUAUUUACAGAAAAAAAAAUUUAGCCAUGAAAGCUACUAAAGAAAAGCCAGAAACAGCGUAAGAAUUCCCUACUCAAAUAUGAUUCAGAGACGAGGGUGGGGACUUUAUUCCACUGGACUUCAGUCCCAGUGACAAGGCCACUACUAUUGUGAAUUAAUAUCAGGCUAAUUAAACUUGAUGUUAUUAAAUGUUCUAUCCAUAAAAUUUUUCAUUCAGAAUUCUUGUUUUUCAAACAACAUUCUGGAUUAUUAUUUAGCUGUCAAAGUAGCUGUGUUCUUAGAAAAUACAUCAGUCAGGGCUGGGUACAGUGGCUCAUGUCUGUAAUCCUAGUGCUUUGGGAGGCCAAGACAGGAGGAUCACAUGAGGCCAGGAGUUUGAGACCAACUAAGUCAACAUGGUAGGACCCUGUCUCUAUCCCCCUCUACCCCCCAAAAAAUUAGUCAGACAUGGUAGCACAUGCUUGUAGUCCUAGCUACUUGGGAGGCUGAGGUGGGAGGAUCUCUUGAGCCCAAGAGUUCAAGGUAGCAGUGAGCUGAUUGCACUACUGCACUCUGGCUCAUGCAAGAUAGGAAGACCCUGUCUCAGAAAAGAUUAAAAGAAAAUAAACUAAUCACACAAAUUUCAAAUAUACUAUUUAUAAUGGUAGAAACAUUUUAGUGAGCAAUGAUCCUGGCCUUUAGUGAGGUUUUUCUCAUAACAAUUUGUCAUAAAUGAAUAAUUUCUGGGUAAAACAUUAUAAUUUCAUUUUUUCUUUAUUUAUUUAUUUUUAUUUUUAUUUUUGAAACAGAAUCUCAUUUUGUUGUCCAGGCUGGAGUGUCCGCCUCCCAGGCUCCAGUGAUCCUCCAGCCUCAGCCUCUUGAGUAGCUGGGACUACAGGCAUGCUCCACCACGCUCGGCUAAUUUUUGUAUUUUUUGUUGAGAAGGGGUUGUGCCAUGGUGUCCAGGCUUGACUUGAACUCCUGGGCUCAAACAAUCAGCCUGCUUUGGCCUCCCAAAGUGCUAGAACUACAGGCAUGAGCCAUGGAGCCCAACCUGUGAUUUCUUUGCUGUGUACCCCCAUUUGAUGGAUAAUUUUUUGGCAUGUUGAUAAACGUCAGGGUGUAAAGUAUCCAGUAUGAGGGGUAAAGCCAGGAUUAUAAUAAAUUUGUCAACUUCAGGUUUUCUUGCUAGCCUUUUCUGUGAUAUACAAAGUGCACAUACAACUACAUGGGUAGGAGAAUUGUUGAAAUAAGUUAUCAUUGUUCAAACAAUAAUUUGUUGGAACCAAAUAUCACCCACAAUGCAAUUGUCUACCUUUAAAGAAUGGCCAUAGAGUCAAAAACUUUCUUUUGAAUCCUGGAUUCACUAUUUAUUUGAUGUGAGAUCACCUUUACUUUUAUACCAUCAAUUUCCUCAGUGUAAAGAGUGUAUUAUUAAAAUUCCCUCGUACGGUCA